CUGUGAGAUUUGCUGGUCUGCUUGAGGUUAUGUUUUAGAGACUACUUGAUAUGUGCUCAAGAAUAUUCCGAGCAAAUCGAUCACUAAAACUAUAUAUGAGAUAUGGACUUGGGUAAUUCGAUACUCUCUUACCUUAGAAUUUCGGAUGUCGAACUUAUAUGAAAUAUUCACAAACCGACUAGCUUAGAUCUUGAUUUGAUAAAUAUUAAAUUAAGGAUAUUCCUUCUACCUUCCUGAUGAACAUGAGAUGUUCAUAAAUCUUAAAGCAUUUAUUUUGAAAAAUAAAUUCCUUGAUGAAGGAAUUGAUGCCAUUAAGAGCAAACUUGAUG
rnacentral:lncRNA from 1 species